rnacentral:rRNA from 1 species
AUACGGAGGGUGCAAGCGUUAUUCGGAAUCACUGGGCGUAAAGGACGCGUAGGCGGGUUGGCAAGUCAGAUGUGAAAUCCUACAGCUUAACUGUAGAACUGCAUUUGAAACUGCUAACCUAGAGUAUGGGAGGGGGAGAUGGAAUUAGUGGUGUAGGGGUAAAAUCCGUAGAUAUCACUAGGAAUACCGAAAGCGAAGGCGAUCUCCUGGAACAUAACUGACGCUAAGGCGUGAAAGCGUGGGGAGUAAACAGGAUUAGAUACCCUUGUAGUCC